CUAAUAAGAGACACAAAAGCUGUACACUUGGACCAAGUCCUAAAACCAAGCACACCUUAACAAUAAGUGCAGAUACCCCAAACUAUUUUCCAUACGGAGAUAGCUGCAAGCUCACAGAUUAUCAUUUGAGCUUGAGGUUAUCACAAAGGUGACCAAGCUCAGGCCGAGCUUUCAUCCAAGCACUGAAUGAGGUUUCGCCUGCGCAAGCAUUGCCAUGAAAAGCAACCCUGUUGAAAAGAUACGACCUGAAAGCUAUCAAGAAAAAAUACCUCCUGCACAAAGCAAAACCAUAUCCAAGCAAUUAGCUACCCUGAACUAUAUGAGUGGACCUAUACUCUAGUCAAAGGGUCCACAAAAAUAAUAAAAUUUAACCCAGCACCACAGAACAAGCAAGAAAUCCUCUAAAAUAAUAUCCUACGCUUGACAAUUUAAUGUAACAAUUGUCGGUGUCUCCUAGAAUUCCACUGUGUCGCAAAGUUUAUUCAGAAGUCCAAACGUGCGUUACAAAUAGGUUCUGAGAAUUAUCAUGAUGAAACGAACGAAAGUCAAACAUGUCUGAGCCACUCACCUGAGGGCAUUGAUACCCAUAUCAAGGACAAAAUCUCUACGUUCAUCUUCUGCAUUAGAAAAGCUAUCCAACUGAACCUUGUACUCAAAAAUGUCAUCUCGCAAAUGCCCAGCUCCACCGCAUCUGUGACAGCAUUCACCAUUUCUACGGCUCGUCAACAUAACAUUGAGAUAUGGAAAUGAACACUAAUAAACUUCAUCAUCAAAAAAUGAGAAUAAAAGUAAAACUCCUCAAUUAGAAUCCAAAAUCUCAAUCCCUAUCGUGAAUAAUAUACGACACUACACAUACAUCCUGCAUCUAAAGACCGUAACCAUAAUAGUACAAUCGAUACACAUAAAAACAGGCUUAGAUAGCUAGUCACUAUUUCGACAAGGUAAAGUGUAUAGGAAGAAAGUGAGAUGUACAAACCGGUCAAUGACUACAUCCACUUCGGUUUUACUAGCUGGCCCACUGGCCAAAACUCGAGUAAGGCUCGAAAUAUCACGGUAGUCUCCCUGUCGAAAGGCCUCCGUAUCAUUGGCAGGCCUUGGGACCAUCCUAUUGUUUGCCAAUGAAUGAGGACUAUUUAUGUCAGCAGACUUUGAGGAUGAUACAGAUAAGCUGGUCAAUUGCAGUUCAGCUUGCAACCUAAGGCAGGUCAUAGACAUUGCGUACGCGAUACCUCCAAAUCCUGUAUGUGAUAUGAAACAGUACUCCACCCCAGGGCCAGCUCUGCAAGAAUAACAGGAUUUGUGACUUGUAAAAUCAAGAGGGUGCCAAAUAUUACAUACAAAGGCAAAAAAUUUAAUUAUUAUUUAAUUUUUUAUUUUUAAAAUGAUUAUAAGAAGUAGCAGAAGAAGAAGAAGAAGAAGAAGAAAAUAAUAAUAAUAAUAAUAAUACACAGAAUUAUUCAACACAAUUUAUUGUCCUCAUGAUAUAUUUAUUCAAGAAUUAAAAAUAACUACUUAUUAGCUUUUAAACCAACAAGCCCUUAUAGCUGAUUAGAGGAACGUACUCAUCCAAGCGCUGGUGAAUGACAUCAACAUCAGAAGCCAAAGCAGCCCUUUCCCUAGUAAGGGGAACACGCUGGUAGUCAACAUUGUAUCCCUCUUGUCUUAAACCGGCAUACACCUCAGCAGGGGUUUGAACAUCCUCAGCACUGAUGACUUCCCAAUAACCGAUGAUGUCUGAAUGACCAGUAAUUGGGUUAUACUCCUCCUUAUGCAGAAGCAUUCGACCUCCUGUGCGCUCAGCUUCUGCAAUAAUGUCGUUCUUCAACCUGCUCUCCAUUUGUUCAACCUGCACAACAAAAUUUAAAAUGCUGAUAAACAGGAAAUACCACAAGAUAAAACCGUUCGGUGCUCUUGCUGGGCAGAAAUUUGCACUUGUCAACUCAUCAGCUGCAUCGAACACCAUGUAAUAAAACCGUCCAAAUCACGAUUAUUUCACUCAACAGGGGUAUCCUUCAACCAUGCUCCAUUAAUACAAAUAAUAAUCAGAGUUACUGAAUUGGUUUUUGAAUAAAAGGAGACUUACCACAUGACCUUUCACACCAACGUGUUUUAAGGUGCUAGCAGGCUGUUCAACUUCGCGAAGAACGAAUGGAUUACCAUGUAUAUACACCACUACUUCUUCGCGUAAAUCCGUCACAACAGCUUUACGCUGCAUCCCACAUGAUGGUUCGGCUAAGAGAUGACUUAAAACACCUUUGGCCCCUUCUAUGGUGGGAGUAGCCAUACUGUGCACAGGAAAUCCCUCCACCUGUCAAGGUAAUGUUUUUAUGGUAUAUUGAUUAGAUAUCAAAAAUGAUAAAAGAUGAAGCAAUUUAUGUAAUUACUCAAACGCAUUAAAAACCCUUUUCGAAAGAAUUCAGAACUCCGAUAAAUGUGUCUUCUCAAGUGACCAAGCACACCUUGCAAACAUGAGGAGCACCAGUAAUCGGAACAUGAUCUGAAGUAGUCUUCUGCCCAGGGAAAAAAUACAUCUUGAGGAUAGAAUGUUUUCCUAAUAUCGACCCGUUGCGCGACUUCACAACAGCUUCCAUUACAGAAUCUUCCAGAUUGUUCUCCCCAUGUGUUUUGAACUCCAUCUCCUGAUACAUCCAAUCAGGGACCAGUUAAGUCUUAAUAGCAAAUGGAAUAACUUUCGCGAUGAUAUGCCACGAUAAGUAUACAUCUCACAAGAUCAUAUGAAAAGAAUGGUGUAAGUUAGAAAAGGAUUGGGAAUAGACUUGCUAACAUUGAUAGUAAACACACGAGUUGGUCUUAAUCGCAUGCUCCAUUUCAUUUGCUUCACUUCAGGAUGACGAUGAAGCCAGGCCUUGAAAGUUGUUCCAGAACCACCUCGACAGUAACCAUCAGAAGCAUCACUGUUCAAAUAAGCAGCGAAACCGAUCAACAUCAAGUAUCGCUCCAGAUACUCGAUACCUCUGGUCAAAGCUGCACGGCGAGCAUAAUGCUCCAGCUUUUGAUCAUUGAAUGCCCGUCGAUAAUGCAAAACAGCUUGCCGCAAAUUUUGCAUAGCAUCGCAAUGGUCAAUUACAGCAUCCAACGCCGCCCGACACGCAGCCCCAUUGUCAAGAAGGCGCGUUAUCUUCCGAACAAUUGGAAUAUCAUCCAUCACAAAUCCAGCUACACAAUUUUGAUCCUCAAACCUGUUCGCUGGCCUAUCCACAUGUGUGUCAAUGUUUACCUCCUCUCCACUACUUGAACAGCUCUCUGGUUCCACCUUUUGUAGGGGUAAACCAGGCGUACUCUGUAGGAAUCCUAUCUCGAGUCGCAAAAGUACCAGGCACGCUGUCACCAUCCCAGUUGUAGUGCGACCUCGCCCCAUCUAAAUCACAAGAAGGAAAAUUUAAUAAGAUCACAUGAAGCCAAGCUACGAUGAUCACUGCAAUUAUAUUAACCAGAGAAAGCAUUCUCAAGCAUUCAUGGGGCUUGCCUGACAGUUGAAGACGAAGGCCGUGUCCCUAGGAGCAGCUGCAAUGCGAGCGGCGAGAGCACUGAAAUCGGAACUUUUAGGAGCUUUGCCAUCAGUAAUAGGAACCCUGCCAUAUUCGACGCGGACACCUUCGGCUUUCAAGCACUCAAAAACUUCUAGGGGUGUCUGAACAACACCCGGACCAACAGGCUCCCACGCAUCAAAAAUGAGCCCGUCCUCUGUCUCAUGAUUUACCAUUAUAGCACCUGAAUAGCGCUCAGCUUCCCGUAGAAUGUCAUCCUUCAAUCGAGCUUCCAUCUGCUCCACUCUUGCCGUGUCUAUGCCCUGCGAGUCCAUACACCAACAUCAGCACAUAUUCCUCUCAAAUCUAACCACAAAAGCGUGACAUAUAUAAUCUAGUCACACAACCAAGCUAAACAACAGCACUCACAUUCCAAAGACUUUAGAACAGAGCACAAGUCAACUCGAAAAAUAUUUGAUCCGUUCAGGAAGAAAUCAAACCGUAAACAAUAUACCCAUACUUCACUUCAUUUUGGCGAUAACACGUCAAGGAAAUGAGACCAAAUCAAAAUCAAAAUAAAAAUAAAAAUAAAAAUAAAAGAAAAAAAGAAAUGAACUAUACAAAUGAUAAUGUUAACUGAAAACUUACUUCAUAUUCAAGCAUAUUCUUGUAGGGACGCUCAACUUCGCGCAGGACGAAUGGCUUCCCAUUGAUAUAUACCACAGGCUCCUCCCUCAUAUUGUGCCAUAGCACAGGUCGCUCAUUGCUACCUUCGCUAACUCUUUCCAAUACAGCAUGAAUACCUUGAACUGUUGGAUUCGCAACGCCGUACACGGGGAAGCAGUCGAUCUCCCUAAAAUUAGGAGCACCUUCCAAUAGCUCUGGAAGAAACUGGUUUUGACAACCAGGACAGUGGUCACUUUUGAGCACUGUCUGCCGCCCUAGAACUUCUCCAUUCCUGCUGGCCACGACAUUUUCCAUCCUGCUGGGACGCCCAUCUGUAACUUUUGAAGGCAUUUUGAUAGUGCCCACUGGGGUGUUACUGUAACCUAACGCACCCAUUGGAUCCCGCCUCAGCAACCUGUCAAUACAGUACAUUGGCAAUAUACAAGAAGAAUUUUCAUAAGAAACCAAUAGAUGUUCAAUUUUCAGUCGAAUGCCAAGCACAAAACUAAAAUAUGGAAUACCUGCGAAGAAUGCUGUAGAGCUCUGGCCGAUCGCGCAUCCACUGUUCAAAACCGCCUUGACCUGGUCGGUGUGUAGAGCCCAAGCAAGUUUUGUCGGUGUGAAUGUAAACAGCGAAGCAGAUGAGGAAGUAGUAUCGCUCUAAAUACUCCACAAAGAAUGAGAGUCCUGCCGCCCGCUUUUUCUCAUCAGCUUGCCUCACGAUACUACUUCGAUAACUGGCAAUGGCCUCCCGCAAGUUCUGCAUUUCAUGACGCUUGAGUCCUUUUAUAAAUAAAAUAAUAUAUAAUAAAAUAAAAUUUGAAAGACGACCAGCGGUACUCAGGAUACAAUCCAAUGCCUUUAAGGAUGCUAUUCCAACAUUUGAACAUCAUACAACUCAUAAUACCUGCAUUGCUGAGCAGCUAUCAAUAACUUUAUCGACCUGACGUUUCCCUUCUACUCCCCCCUGUUACAAACCCAUGUAAUCACACAUUAGCAACUGAACCUCACAAUGGUGAAGAAACAGUAAGCAGAAAAAUCAUUCAAGCUGAUGUGUCGCUGAAGGAAAGAAACUCAUAGAAACGCAGUCAGGGAGGAUACUCUUAUUUAGCCAAAAAAGAGACGAGUACUUGCAGAGCACGGUCUAUAUCUCUACUUAUAUGCUCACCUCCAAUACCCGGAUAAGACUACGAAUUACAGCAUAUUCUCCUCUUCUCAGAGCCUCUUCGGUGUCUGGUACGUCAUAUACCAUUUCAUCCCUCGCCUCAUGAAUCGUUCCCAUCGAACUUGACCGAGGAAGCCCUGCAAUGGAUUCAAUAAUAUUCAUGAAUGUCUUAUCUAGCAAUCUAUGACAUGUUCCAUCGAGUUCUUAAAUGAUGGAAUGUUUCUGGUUACUAAAAUCUUCACUAAUGAAUCAACUAUUAAUAGUCCAGUAAAACAUAAUAAAAACAGUCUCUGACACAACCUCUAAAUCGAGAACUUGCCCGAGUCUGAGCUCUGGUUCAUAUUAAAGGAACCUAUUUCAAACUAGCAGAGCGAAAAUAGUGAGAAAAGCUUAAGUUUUCACAAGACCUGAAGCCCCCAUGCGCUUAAAAUGAAUCAAAGUAGCAAUGACCAUGCCCGUAGUAGUGCGACCGCGGCCCAUUUGGCAGUUGAAUACCAGCUUGGUGCCAAAUUCAACUUGCGAAAGACGCUGCACCUGCAGCAAAUAACAGCAGUCAUGCGAAGAUCAUACAUCAUCAUCAAUGACCAGGCCAUACACAAGAUCGGACAACAGACUCUUCUGCUUGAAACAAGUAACCUGAGAAAAAACUUACCAGAGAGUCAAAGUCGCGCACUUUCGGUGACUUUUCAUCCGUGAUAGGAAUUCGCUCGUAAUCGACCAAGUAACCUUCUGCCUGUAGACUCUCGUAAACCUGAAUACACCGUUUAAUCUUUAAGUCUCUACAUUGAAUGCUACCAAGUAGUAAAAUAAAACAAAAUCUAAAUAGGAAAUUACAAAUUUAGGUAUGAGAAUACCUCAAAAGGUGUUUGAAUAGAGUUUGGGCCCACUGGCUCCCAUUGAUCUAUCAUCUGACCAUCAGGAAGCUCA
rnacentral:lncRNA from 1 species